GUUACAAAAUCUUCACUAUGAAUUGAGACAUUUUAUUCCAAAAACAUUACAAUUUCCAUACAUAAUUACCUUUGCUUUCAAGCUACCUCCAAUAAGAAUAACCACUGAGUUGUAGACUCUCAAGAUUAACGGAAGAUACACAGUUUCUCAUUCUAACGAGUUGGUACAUCCUCCAAUUACUGUCUCUAAUUCAUAUGACACAUUGCUCUGUUAUACAAAGCAUCACUGUGCAACAGGGUACAGAACAUGUAUUCGGAUUUUUGAUGCCUGAAGAGGAGAGAGAGAGAACAAUUGGGAUUCUGAUUCAGAUGUUCGUGGAAAACAUGCAAGAGGUAAAAUAUUGACUGAAAGAAUUUUUCAAACCCUCCAGGAACUCAGAAUCAUUGAUAGAGAGGAAACUUCAUGAGAAAUUUCAUGAGGUAAUGAGAUACACAAGAAAAAAAUUAGUUACUUUUUUUCCUUUUUUAUUUUUUUUUUCCUUUUGGCUUACUUAGGCUUUGAAAUCAAAACACAUUUAAGACAUGAUUCCUAUGGAUUAAAAUAAACUCCUUCUCCCUUGCCUCCACUCCAUUCUUAAGGGAAUAGUAGGACACUUUAUCUUGUCACUAUCCCACCUAUAGCUUAUAUCUGUAUUUAGAUGAUAUCUGUUAGACUUGUGUGAUGAUCAGCACUAGAUAUAAGCCAACUGCAUUUUUUUUCAAUCUUCCAGCAGUAAAUAUUAAAUCCUCGAUGAUUUCAAAUUUAAAGAUGACACAAAUGCUGACUGAUUGAUGGUAAACACCAGAAAGAAGAGGACAGUCAUGAGAAGUGGUCUGGAUUAUCUGGAAGAGGCCUGGACAAUCUCCAUUUUAUCAUUCUGGGAGGAGGGAUGGACCAAUAAUAAGAAGCCUAGAUUCAACAUUGCUUCAGACUACAUGAUCCAGAGGAUACCCAGAUGCUUCACGUAAGAAAUGCAGAAGCCAUCUCCUUUUGUGCCAACUGCCUCAUCAAGCCUCCUGCACAGUGCACAGGGCUGCCCUGGGUGGACCAUCUCCCUCUGACUGUUCUCCUGCUGCUGGGCUGGAGACCCCUUCCUGUGGGAUGCUGCCAUCAGGUCUGGGAUUCCCAGCAGUUCUUCUGACUCUGCAUUCACUCAGGAGCUGCUUGCAAUUGCCGAAAGGUCUCUACUGAAAAUUUAAUUUAGAAUGGCACUUGAAGAAGUACAUUUUUUUCCCUCUCUAUUCAGUGAAGCAUAUUAAGAGCAUACUUAUCUCAAGCAAGUGAUUAAGGCCUGCUGCCUGUGAAGCUACAAGUGGGUGCUCUUGUUCUGUAGUGAAUCAGGUUCUGUAGUGAAUUAGGUUCUUGAUUCCCAAUAGAGGUGAUAGCCUUGCAUCACCUCAUUUAUGCACAUUCAGAUAGUUUUACCCAGAAAAGAUUUUUAUCUUUUUAAUUUCAUAUCUUUGUCUCUAAGUAUUUUCUGAACUUUGUUUCAAAAACAAAUAUGGAAUAAAAAAAAGUUCGUGCAACCAUUGAAAAUUGUAAAUUCAUCUCAAACCUCUUACAGGUUUCAGAUGUGGCACUCAAGUCUGCUGUAGAAAUUCCUGUUUUAGGAAUUUCUAAAAUAAACAGUCAAAACAAUCCUCAGUUGUGCUGCAGCUUGCUUGCCUAAAUAAAUGCUAAGCUUUCUCUUCAGUUUCAACAUACAUAUCCUACGUGCUUACCAUAUAUCAUAGACUGUAUUACAGAUUCACAGCUUGUACUCUCUUCCUACCCCAUAUGGCAUCAUAUAGAGCUCUUAAGUGGUUAAAGUAAACAGAUUUUUUUGUCUAUAGACAGAGUAAACAACAAAUGACAAAAUGGUCUAAUCAUUUUAAAGUCAUUAGUUUUAACUCUGUAUCAAUCAUUCCAUAUUGCUGGGCUAAUAAUCCCUAAUUAUGAGCUGCUCCUGGUGUUAGCACUCUUUUCCAUUUAGAUGCAGAUGUUCCCUGACCUUCUGCUUCCUGUGGAAAGGGAGAUAACUCCUUCUUAUAAAAGUCAAAGGAAGGAGAAAGUCUGUCCUUGUGCACAGAGCACCAUGUGGCAGGCCAUUUUCACCCUACCAUGCCGUGUCAUGUUCCCCCGAAAAGAGCAAAUACUUUGACAAGGCUGGACAGUGCUGAGGGCAAGCUGGGCAGAGCACAAUUCCUAGCUUUAAUUAGCAAUUGUAGGCACAUCACUGUUAAUGCAAUGUUGAUUGUGAUGGUAUUUCAGUAAUUUGCUGGAUAUCUUUCUGACAGUUUAUACAAGCCAGUGGCUGAAUGGUCAGCAUGAGUGCAUUGCAGUGGAACAGAGGAAAGGCCAAAUGUCUUUUGCCUCAGGCCUUGAAAUAGCUGGAACUGAAUUUAUAUUUUAAAUCCAAUUGAAAUGCAUUGAAGAAUAGUAUUUGUUACAUAUAGAUAUUGGUAUAUCAUGGCUUGAUAACAUACAGAAUUUAAUCUACCUCUACCUACAACUUUUCUGAGACCUAAUGUAGAAACUAAUCGCUUGCAGCAGACAAGUGAAAAGCAAAGAAGGAUUUCCAUGUUGUCAGAGAUUCUGCUGUACUUCAUCCUCUCUUCUCUACAGGUGGGCUCAUAAUCUAGCCUAGGUGUGAAUGAUAUGAUGGAUGCUGAUUUCUCUGUGUCACCUCCACAGGAGCCAGCUAAGGUCAGGAAUCUCUAAAGCUGCCUUUGAACAGUGCUGCUAUGGGGAGGAUUGCCAGUCCUGUCAGAGCUGUACCUUUGUGCUCCACAGACAGCACUGCAUGGGAUCUCUAGAUCUAUCUUCUCCAUUGGCUCUUGUGGUGAAUUCUUACCACCUAUUUCACAUAUUUGGCAUUAUCAUGUUUGGAUCUAUGUGAAUUAUUGCUUUGUAGGAGUUAUCAUGGCUAGCUAUGCAUUGAUUGUAUUUCAUAAUUUUCUCUCAUUCCCAAAGGGAAUAAAAUGUAUAUUGUUUUUAUUUGUUCCACGAGAGAGAAGCUGACUUUCUCAGGUUAAUUUUAGUAGUUUUUGUUUUGUUUUGUUUUUAAUUUUUAAAUGUACACAAAAAUAUAUUAAUUAUGAACUUUUUCCCUCUGGAGAUGCUGAAAGAAAUGGGGUAUUCUCAUAUCAAACUGUGUUGGUUCUUUUCCUUUCAAAAUGGAAUCCUGUUUAAAUCAACAUUUUUUACCAAGAAAAAAGAAUCACAGAACAGCAUUUUCUGCUAAAUGCUUUGAUGAGAAUUUUGUGGCAAGGUAAAAGGAAGAAUUGGAAAGAUAGUCCAGUUGUGACAGCCAUUUAACAGUGUAGAAUGGCUUGUCACCAGGGUGCUGACAAAUGGUCAUGCUUUA